AGUGAACGCUGGCGGUAGGCCUAGCACAUGCAAGUCGAACGGCAGCACAGUAAGAGCUUGCUCUUACGGGUGGCGAGUGGCGGACGGGUGAGGAAUACAUCGGAAUCUACUUUUUCGUGGGGGAUAACGUAGGGAAACUUACGCUAAUACCGCAUACGACCUACGGGUGAAAGCAGGGGAUCUUCGGACCUUGCGCGAUUGAAUGAGCCGAUGUCGGAUUAGCUAGUUGGCGGGGUAAAGGCCCACCAAGGCGACGAUCCGUAGCUGGUCUGAGAGGAUGAUCAGCCACACUGGAACUGAGACACGGUCCAGACUCCUACGGGAGGCAGCAGUGGGGAAUAUUGGACAAUGGGCGCAAGCCUGAUCCAGCCAUGCCGCGUGGGUGAAGAAGGCCUUCGGGUUGUAAAGCCCUUUUGUUAGGAAAGAAAAGCAGCAGGUUAAUACCCCGCUGUUCUGACGGUACCCAAAGAAUAAGCACCGGCUAACUUCGUG
rnacentral:rRNA from 1 species